rnacentral:misc_RNA from 1 species
AUAAGCACAGCAGCCCAAUACCGAUAGCUGCCAAGUGGUCACCUAAGCAUAGAGAUGAUGCCUCUAGCUCUGAGCUUUGGGCGGGGCCAGCUUACUGUAACUCACCCCCGCCGAGCUCUCUGCCGAUCCCCACAUUCUCGCUCCGCCAGAAACGCAGCGUCUCUCUCGACUUGCCCUCUCAGCCGACAAUUGUGCUCCGUCCAGCUGCCAAAUCUGCUCCGUCGUCGCCCACCAAGGUGGCAUCCUCGCCUGAGAGCGACUUCUUUUUUAGCACUGCUUUUGCGACGCAGAACCUGCGGCGCAUCCUAAAUUUAGAUAUCAAUGA